rnacentral:lncRNA from 1 species
GGCCUCCCCUUUGCUAUUAUUGCUUGGAGGGCUGUAAUGCGGCGCAGUCACAUACCAGACACAGUGCCGUCAUGUAGCACUGCGACACCAGGGAGACAAAGGCGCAAUGGGGAUCCCUGGGCGGCCGGGACUAAAAGGGCAACCGGGAGAGAAGGGUGCUCCAGGAGAAGCGGGCAUGUCUAUCAUUGGACCCCGUGGUCCACCCGGACAGCCUGGAACAAGAGGUUUUCCUGGAUUCCCGGGCCCUAUUGGCUUGGACGGCAAACCGGGUCACCCUGGACAGAAGGGGGAGAUGGUAAAAAAAAAUAUACAUUUGUCUGUGGGUGAUGAGUUG